UACGUAGGGGGGCGAGCGUUGUCCGAAGUUACUGGGCGUAAAGGGCGCGUAGGCGGGGCGUCAAGUCCGCUGUGAAAAGCCCCGGAGCUUAACUCCGGUAGGUCGGUGGAGACUGGCGCUCUUGAAGAGGCUAGAGGGAGAUGGAAUUACCGGUGUAGCGGUGAAAAUGCGUAGAGAUCGGUAGGAACACCCGUGGCGAAGGCGGUCUCCUGGGGGCCUUCUUGACGCUGAGGCGCGAAAAGCUGGGGGGAGCGAACGGGG
rnacentral:rRNA from 1 species